AGAGUUUGAUCCUGGCUCAGAUUGAACGCUGGCGGCAUGCCUUACACAUGCAAGUCGAACGGCAGCACGAGAGCUUGCUCUUGGUGGCGAGUGGCGAACGGGUGAGUAAUAUAUCGGAACGUACCCUAGAGUGGGGGAUAACGUAGCGAAAGUUACGCUAAUACCGCAUACGAUCUACGGAUGAAAGUGGGGGAUCGCAAGACCUCAUGCUCAUGGAGCGGCCGAUAUCUGAUUAGCUAGUUGGUGGGGUAAAAGCUCACCAAGGCGACGAUCAGUAGCUGGUCUGAGAGGACGACCAGCCACACUGGAACUGAGACACGGUCCAGACUCCUACGGGAGGCAGCAGUGGGGAAUUUUGGACAAUGGGCGCAAGCCUGAUCCAGCAAUGCCGCGUGAGUGAAGAAGGCCUUCGGGUUGUAAAGCUCUUUUGUCAGGGAAGAAACGGUGGACUCUAAUACAGAUCACUAAUGACGGUACCUGAAGAAUAAGCACCGGCUAACUACGUGCCAGCAGCCGCGGUAAUACGUAGGGUGCAAGCGUUAAUCGGAUUUACUGGGCGUAAAGCGUGCGCAGGCGGUUGUGCAAGACAGAUGUGAAAUCCCCGGGCUCAACCUGGGAAUUGCAUUUGUGACUGCACGGCUAGAGUGUGUCAGAGGGGGGUAGAAUUCCACGUGUAGCAGUGAAAUGCGUAGAGAUGUGGAGGAAUACCGAUGGCGAAGGCAGCCCCCUGGGAUAACACUGACGCUCAUGCACGAAAGCGUGGGGAGCAAACAGGAUUAGAUACCCUGGUAGUCCACGCCCUAAACGAUGUCUACUAGUUGUCGGGUCUUAAUUGACUUGGUAACGCAGCUAACGCGUGAAGUAGACCGCCUGGGGAGUACGGUCGCAAGAUUAAAACUCAAAGGAAUUGACGGGGACCCGCACAAGCGGUGGAUGAUGUGGAUUAAUUCGAUGCAACGCGAAAAACCUUACCUACCCUUGACAUGUCUGGAAUCCUUGAGAGAUCAGGGAGUGCUCGAAAGAGAAUCAGAACACAGGUGCUGCAUGGCUGUCGUCAGCUCGUGUCGUGAGAUGUUGGGUUAAGUCCCGCAACGAGCGCAACCCUUGUCAUUAGUUGCUACGAAAGGGCACUCUAAUGAGACUGCCGGUGACAAACCGGAGGAAGGUGGGGAUGACGUCAAGUCCUCAUGGCCCUUAUGGGUAGGGCUUCACACGUCAUACAAUGGUACAUACAGAGGGCCGCCAACCCGCGAGGGGGAGCUAAUCCCAGAAAGUGUAUCGUAGUCCGGAUUGUAGUCUGCAACUCGACUACAUGAAGUUGGAAUCGCUAGUAAUCGCGGAUCAGCAUGUCGCGGUGAAUACGUUCCCGGGUCUUGUACACACCGCCCGUCACACCAUGGGAGCGGGUUUCACCAGAAGUGGGUGGCCUAACCGCAAGGAGGGCGCUCACCACGGUGGGAUUCGUGACUGGGGUGAAGUCGUAACAAGGUA
rnacentral:rRNA from 1 species